UUUGAUCAUGGCUCAGAUUGAACGCUGGCGGCAGGCCUAACACAUGCAAGUCGAGCGGCAGCGGGAAAGUAGCUUGCUACUUUUGCCGGCGAGCGGCGGACGGGUGAGUAAUGCCUGGGAAAUUGCCCAGUCGAGGGGGAUAACAGUUGGAAACGACUGCUAAUACCGCAUACGCCCUACGGGGGAAAGCAGGGGACCUUCGGGCCUUGCGCGAUUGGAUAUGCCCAGGUGGGAUUAGCUAGUUGGUGAGGUAAUGGCUCACCAAGGCGACGAUCCCUAGCUGGUCUGAGAGGAUGAUCAGCCACACUGGAACUGAGACACGGUCCAGACUCCUACGGGAGGCAGCAGUGGGGAAUAUUGCACAAUGGGGGAAACCCUGAUGCAGCCAUGCCGCGUGUGUGAAGAAGGCCUUCGGGUUGUAAAGCACUUUCAGCGAGGAG
rnacentral:rRNA from 1 species